CCAAACCCCCUCAUCUCUCCAUCGUCUCUCUCAUAGAUGACCCCUUCCAAACCCUAGACACCACCCCUCCCCUUCGCCUGAAACCCGGCAGCAAUAAUGCGCCAGUCACCAAAGUAACCCCAUUAAGCUAUCUAACCACCAUCAUUAUGAAUCCAUGCUCCUUUUACUUCGAAUAAACCACUAGCUUCUCGAACCUUCAAUUGAGAUUCGAGCAUAACUGGAACCUACCCCAACCAAGCCCAAACUCACACCAUGAUAAUAGUGGACCUCCCUCGUUCCUAAACCAUUAUUGGUUUCCCUCGAAUCAUGCUAGAAUAGUUCGAAUCCCAAAUCGAACCAGAAACCCUAGACGAAACCAAAUUGGGUUGUGUCCAAACAUAGGGGAGGAUUUGGGUGGCUAAUCAACCUUAUUCGAAGUGUUCUCAGUUGAGAACACUCAAUUAAGGUCCGUUCCACCCCAAAAAAGUUUGGGUCUGAGUUCGAGCUUGAGAUUAUUUGGAUUCUAAUUUCUUGAGGUAUUUUGCAUUUCCUGUCUGUUCUCUCUUUGGUUAUUUGUUUAUGUUGUUGUAUUGAUUUUGUUGUAAACUUCUGUUCAUUGUUCUUCUUCUUCUCCAAUCAGACUUUUUAUUUGGUCGAGUUUUUCUGUUCAUGGUAAAGUAUAUUUUAUAAGCUAUGCAAUCGAUUUGGCUAGUUUGUCGAUUACUUAGUUUUCUAAUAGCUCUUUGUUUUUGUUAAGGGCUACUCGAAUCCCAUGUACCCCAUCUUGGUUGUGUCAAACUGUAUGGUCUAUUUAUUUGUUUGUUUGCUUUAUUCUGGAUAAUUGCUUCUUCUUUGUAUUUCUAGAAAUCCGAGUUAGGCAAGUAUCAGUAAGUCUCUUGUGCAAACAAUAUUUCUUCCAAGCUGUUUUGGGCAGUGUUAUUUCAAUAUGUGUAUUGUUUUAUCCCCUGAUCUUUGUCGAUUCAUCACACUAUUAGUUCCUUGCUUGUUCAUUUUUGUCUGAGUUGAUCAUGAUUGGUUCCCAAUAUGAUUAGCCCAUUCCCUUUGUUUUGAUACCAUGUAUUUCAUCUAAGUUACUAUCCUAAAUUACUGGCUGAUUUGGUAAGUUGAAUUUGUUAUAGUUGUGGGGGGGUCUGGAACAAAUUGAAGGGGAAUUAGUUCAGGGUUGUAUUUUGAGGGACUUCAUAAGGGUAAUUUGGAGUUUAAAACUUGAAUAAAUUUGUUUAAGUUGAAUGGUCUGACAGCAAGGUACUAAGGUACCAUUUAAUUUAUACAUUUGUUUAAUACUAGUGGGGAGCAAAACACAAUAGUGUUGGGAGAGGUCUAAUAGGAAAUGAUUAAACAAGUAUGUAUCCAUAACAAAUAAAUUAAGAAUAGAAUGGGACAAUAGUAGUGGGGGACAAGAUAAUUAAAAGGAGAACAAAACAUAUAGUAAUGUGGUUCCGGGAGUAUGCGCAGUAGAUUUUUUCUAUAUGUUUAUGUGUCCCAAGAGGUUGGAGGAGGUUAAGUCUCAAGAGGCUAGACAAGGUUAAGUUUCUAGUAUAAAUAGAAGGUGUUGGGACAGAAUAAGGGGGGAUUUUUAGAGAAUAGAGAUCAGUCUUUGAUCAGUUUUUUUCAAAGUUAUAAGAGUUCAGAGUUAAGUGGGAAAAGCUGGAUUGUUUGGUUUUUCUUUUACUCCUGGAAAUCAGAAAAGAGUGGAGUUCCUAAGAGUUUUUCUUCUUUGAUAGUUUAAAGAACAGAAAAUCAGAAAACACGUUGUUUCAUUGCAUCUCUUGGUCGAAUCUGUUAGUGUGGUGUUGCUAUUGGGUUUCAUUGGUUUCAUAUUGCUCCUGGGACCUAUUUCUAUUGCUGGUUUUGCUGUGUUGGAGUUGGUAUCAGUCUUGUUUGGUUAAAUAAUUUCUGGAAUUACUGGAUUAUGUCUUGUUGGUAUUGGUAUCUGCUGUUGGUAUCUGCUGUGACUGUUUUCUGUUGUUGUAUUGUUACUUCUGCUGCUGACUUACUUUUCAACCUUUUGUAACUCACUCUCAAGGUACACAUUCUCUGUUAUGGUUCUAUGUCUAAAAAUGGAAUAGAACUGCCUAUUUUUUGGACCCUGAAACAUGCAUGUUGUAUCGUUACAUAUGUGCAGUUGAAUAGAUAUCAAAAUGUAGUUGAUUAAAUUAUUCAAGUGUUGAUUUGUAUGAUUAAUAACCAUGGACUGCUUUCUUUAUGGACUAUGGAAUGUGUUGGGUCAUUAUGUUUACUAGUAGAUUGUUGUGGUUUGUUUCGAACCACUUCAAAUUUGUAAGAAUUUUGUAUUCCGAAGAAGUAACUCAGCUCGUAACUAUUAAAUAGAGCGAUAUGAGGAUUUGAGUUGAUUAGUUACCAGUUUAUCAGUUCCUUCUUACGUUUCACCAGUAGGCAUCACUUGAGGUCGAACAAGACGUGGUAAUGUUCCUUUAAAUAUUGAUAAUAAUAGAUUUUUCAAGUGUCGAUUAAGUUUAACAAACUUUCAAGUAAGUACUAGUGAUUAAGGUUAGUUUUUAGUUUCAAAUAAUUGCAAACAAUGAAUCCCAAAUGGUUAUGAUUUUUUACGCGG
rnacentral:lncRNA from 1 species